AACGACUCUCGGCAACGGAUAUCUCGGCUCUCGCAUCGAUGAAGAACGUAGCGAAAUGCGAUACUUGGUGUGAAUUGCAGAAUCCCGUGAACCAUCGAGUCUUUGAACGCAAGUUGCGCCCGAGGCCAUUAGGCCGAGGGCACGUCUGGCUGGGUGUCACGCGAC
rnacentral:rRNA from 1 species